GACGAACGCUGGCGGCGUGCCUAAUACAUGCAAGUUGAGCGCUGAAGGUUGGUACUUGUACCAACUGGAUGAGCAGCGAACGGGUGAGUAACGCGUGGGGAAUCUGCCUUUGAGCGGGGGACAACAUUUGGAAACGAAUGCUAAUACCGCAUAAAAACUUUAAACACAAGUUUUAAGUUUGAAAGAUGCAAUUGCAUCACUCAAAGAUGAUCCCGCGUUGUAUUAGCUAGUUGGUGAGGUAAAGGCUCACCAAGGCGAUGAUACAUAGCCGACCUGAGAGGGUGAUCGGCCACAUUGGGACUGAGACACGGCCCAAACUCCUACGGGAGGCAGCAGUAGGGAAUCCUCGGCAAUGGACGAAAGUCUGACCGAGCAACGCCGCGUGAGUGAAGAAGGGUUUCGGAUCGUAAAACUCUGUUGGUAGAGAAGAACGUUGGUGAGAGUGGAAAGCUCAUCAAGUGACGGUAACUACCCAGAAAGGGACGGCUAACUACGUG
rnacentral:rRNA from 1 species